rnacentral:lncRNA from 1 species
AGUAAUGCAGCUCCACCAUGGCCAACCCUUUCUCUGCUUUCCCACCAGGCCAAGCCAAGGACCAGUUAGAGUCUAACUGUAUCUUUAACUUUUAAAAUUUGGCCUAUCCUGCUUGUGAUCAUUCCACUUGAGACCAGUAUAACACAGUUGCUUGGACCACCUAUUUCACAUGUGCAGUUCAUCAAAGGUAUGCAGAGGAAAGCAUACUUGUCACCUGGCCAUGCACCUUGGCCAGUUUGGACAAUGAUCCUGAGUCUCCAUAAAUAUGCAAGAGAGAUUAAUAGGAGAGCUUUCAACAAGUAUUGGAAGAAACAAGAUGUUGAAAUGGCACCAAAGAGAACGUUGCUUUGUCCUAGAAUUGCCGUGAGUGUGGAGACAGACUGUGAAGAAGAGAUGCCACCUUGGGUUGAGAUUCAUCUCACCUGCACCUUUUCCAGGAGGCGGACCCGAGAGGGAGGAAGCGACACGAGAGCACUCUCCCUGUAA